rnacentral:tRNA from 1 species
GGCGCCGUAGCCAAGUGGUAAGGCAGAGGUCUGCAAAACCUCUAUUCGUCGGUUCGAUUCCGACCGGCGCCUCUA